GACGAACGCUGGCGGCGUGCUUAACACAUGCAAGUCGAGCGGUAAGGCCCUUUCGGGGGUACACGAGCGGCGAACGGGUGAGUAACACGUGGGUGACCUGCCCUCAGCUCUGGGAUAAGCCCGGGAAACUGGGUCUAAUACCGGAUAUGACUUCAUGACGCAUGUUGUGGAGUGGAAAGCCUUGUGCGGCUGAGGAUGGGCCCGCGGCCUAUCAGCUUGUUGGUGGGGUGAUGGCCUACCAAGGCGACGACGGGUAGCCGGCCUGAGAGGGCGACCGGCCACACUGGGACUGAGAUACGGCCCAGACUCCUACGGGAGGCAGCAGUGGGGAAUUUUUCGCAA
rnacentral:rRNA from 1 species